rnacentral:tRNA from 1 species
UCCUUGGUGGCUCAGAUGGUAAAGCGUCUGCCUAUGAUGCAGGAGACCCGGGUUCAGUUCCUGGAUGGGGAA